UACGAAGGGGGCUAGCGUUGCUCGGAAUUACUGGGCGUAAAGGGCGCGUAGGCGGCACUGUAAGUCAGGCGUGAAAGUCCUGGGCUCAACCUGGGAACUGCGCUUGAUACGGCAGAGCUAGAGGAUGGAAGAGGGUCGCGGAAUUCCCAGUGUAGAGGUGAAAUUCGUAGAUAUUGGGAAGAACACCGGUGGCGAAGGCGGCGACCUGGUCCAUUACUGACGCUGAGGCGCGACAGCGUGGGGAGCAAACAGG
rnacentral:rRNA from 1 species